AACAAGGUUAUACUUAUGAAAUUAAAUAACUCUGGUCUCCAGUAUAUUGGCGAAUUCGGUUCUUUGUACUUAAAUUAUUAGCAUGAUUUCUUUUUAAUAUGUUGUGUACAGACUUAAUUACUUCUCUGUCUACUUUUCUUACUCCAUGUAGGUUUCCCAGAGACUAUGGGUUGAGGAGGAAUUGGAAGUUUGUCGGCUUAGACCUGGUGUCAUUCCAUCAGUGUUAAACUUCCCGGUUCAUCUUGGAAGAGUACGUGCCAGAAAGACCACGACCAAGCAGCCUUGAAAUCUUAGGCAGCGUCUCCUUCAGGUCCCUCUCUAUCUCCCCACACAUCCACCAACCACUGGAACACAUCUCCAAAGUUCUGCUGGACCAGCUCAGCUUCCCCUCAGAAGAAGUGCUGCCACCUGCCAGAUGAAGGAGCCUUUUGAGAGGCAGCUGGCAUCGUGAUUGGACUGUACUUUGGUCUGUUCCAAUCCAGCUUCAGCUCCAGAGACGGCAGGCGGGACGAGUCAACGGAGGCCUGGUGGACGAAGACAUGCAGCUGAGUACAAUCCAGAAAACAACAGAGGAGGAGUGCAGCGGCCCAGAGCCAGAACAAACAGAGUAGCAUCGUAUGUCUCUUAGAAAACAUCAUAGUAUAG